rnacentral:rRNA from 1 species
UACGGGGGAUGCAAGCGUUAUCCGGAUUUAUUGGGUUUAAAGGGUGCGUAGGCUGUGGGGUAAGUCAGCGGUGAAAUGCCCCCGCUCAACGGGGUGAAGUGCCAUUGAUACUGCCUUGCCGGAAUGCGGAUGCCGUGGGAGGAAUGUGUGGCGUAGCGGUGAAAUGCAUAGAUAUCACACAGAACACCGAUUGCGAAGGCAUCUCACGAAUCCGCGAUUGACGCUGAUGCACGAAAGCGUGGGUAUCAAACAGG